rnacentral:rRNA from 1 species
AGAGUUUGAUCCUGGCUCAGAUUGAACGCUGGCGGCAGGCCUAACACAUGCAAGUCGAACGGUAACAGGAAGAAGCUUGCUUCUUUGCUGACGAGUGGCGGACGGGUGAGUAAUGUCUGGGAAACUGCCUGAUGGAGGGGGAUAACUACUGGAAACGGUAGCUAAUACCGCAUAACGUCGCAAGACCAAAGAGGGGGACCUUCGGGUCUCUUGCCAUCGGAUGUGCCCAGAUGGGAUUAGCUAGUAGGUGGGGUAACGGCUCACCUAGGCGACGAUCCCUAGCUGGUCUGAGAGGAUGACCAGCCACACUGGAACUGAGACACGGUCCAGACUCCUACGGGAGGCAGCAGUGGGGAAUAUUGCACAAUGGGCGCAAGCCUGAUGCAGCCAUGCCGCGUGUAUGAAGAAGGCCUUCGGGUUGUAAAGUACUUUCAGCGGGGAGGAAGGGAGUAAAGUUAAUACCUUUGCUCAUUGACGUUACCCGCAGAAGAAGCACCGGCUAACUCCGUGCCAGCAGCCGCGGUAAUACGGAGGGUGCAAGCGUUAAUCGGAAUUACUGGGCGUAAAGCGCAAGCAGGCGGUUUGUUAAGUCAGAUGUGAAAUCCCCGGGCUCAACCUGGGAACUGCAUCUGAUACUGGCAAGCUUGAGUCUCGUAGAGGGGGGUAGAAUUCCAGGUGUAGCGGUGAAAUGCGUAGAGAUCUGGAGGAAUACCGGUGGCGAAGGCGGCCCCCUGGACGAAGACUGACGCUCAGGUGCGAAAGCGUGGGGAGCAAACAGGAUUAGAUACCCUGGUAGUCCACGCCGUAAACGAUGUCGACUUGGAGGUUGUGCCCUUGAGGCGUGGCUUCCGGAGCUAACGCGUUAAGUCGACCGCCUGGGGAGUACGGCCGCAAGGUUAAAACUCAAAUGAAUUGACGGGGGCCCGCACAAGCGGUGGAGCAUGUGGUUUAAUUCGAUGCAACGCGAAGAACCUUACCUGGUCUUGACAUCCACAGAACUUUCCAGAGAUGGAUUGGUGCCUUCGGGAACUGUGAGACAGGUGCUGCAUGGCUGUCGUCAGCUCGUGUUGUGAAAUGUUGGGUUAAGUCCCGCAACGAGCGCAACCCUUAUCCUUUGUUGCCAGCGGUCCGGCCGGGAACUCAAAGGAGACUGCCAGUGAUAAACUGGAGGAAGGUGGGGAUGACGUCAAGUCAUCAUGCCCCUUAUGACCUGGGCUACACACGUGCUACAAUGGGAAGUACAACGAGUCGCAAAGUCGCGAGGCUAAGCUAAUCUCUUAAAGCUUCUCUCAGUUCGGAUUGUAGGCUGCAACUCGCCUACAUGAAGCCGGAAUCGCUAGUAAUCGCGGAUCAGCACGCCGCGGUGAAUACGUUCCCGGGCCUUGCACACACCGCCCGUCA